ACUAAAUAUAGCAAAGUAUAGACCAACAACGCUUCUUAAUGUCUCGUGCUAAAUUAUAACAAGAAUAAUUAAUAAUUGGGUAUUCUAGGUAUUUCCUUCUAUUAUACCAGAACCACAAAAAGGCUUCAGAAAGUAAGAAGAGCAGAAGAAGUACAAGAUUGUUCCAAGAUACUAUUGAUAUUGAUAAGGCGAGUUGGAAGGACUUCUCAAUGAUACUUAUGGACUUUCAGAAAGUUUCCACUCCAUCUUACAUGAAUUUAUACUAUUGCAGCUAAAAAGAACCGUAUUUUUUUAAACUCAGCUCUUUGGGCGGGGAAGAUUAUUUCUUGAUAACUCUUGCAUACCAGUAAGAAUUCCAUUGUCUCUAACCCUUUUCCUUAUAGCUUUAGACUAUUUUCAUGAAACCCUCAGUUUCAUGUCCUCAAAUAAAGUGCCAACUAUGGAUCUCUAUAUCCUGGAUGACUCAACUGUCUACUGUAGGGGUUCUUUGUAAAAGUGAAUUCCAUCCUCUUUUUGGAUUUCAAACUUUUUUUAAAUUUAGUACGUUAUAGUUGAAAAGCAUAAUAAUGAUACGUUAUAAAUUUGUAAAGUUUAAAGCUGGUCAUUAUCUCAAAAAAUUGUGUUUCUAUAUAGCAUUAUUAACCCUAUAAGGUAUAUGAGGUUGCGUAACUCCUCAUUAAGUGCAAUAACCUAAGGGAGUUUUUUUUUUUUUUUUUUUUCAAUAAUGAAUGAAGCGCCUCAAGUGCAACAAAACAUGGUUUUACCUUUGUACUUCCUAUUGUUACGGGUGCAAGUAUGGAGGGUCUUGCAGUUAACACCAACAAGGCUGAAGUCUUAUUUUCACUAAAAGGCAUAGGAAUUGCUUUCUGUUAUUGGUUGGUCUCCAAUGUACAAACUCUUCUUGUAGUUGUGGUAACAAAAGAGGAAGGAGCCAUCGGCAUAAAACGCUAAUGAAUUGAAAGUCCUCGAAUAUAUCUCUAAUUCAAUGUCGUGGCAUGAGAUGCACCAUAUAAAUUUCUUAAAAAGAGUAAAAAUAUGGAUUGCAGUCGCAAAUACUCGGGGUGAGUAGUCCACUAAUUUAAGUACACUCCUUAUUCAGAGAAAAUUAAAUACAGAACAUCCAGGGAAAAUUGAUAUGGGGUUCAAAGUGGGGUAUCUUUCAAAGAGCCGCCAGUAUACUGCAAUUUCAUCAUGGGGCAUAUGUCUAUAAAAUAUAAAACUGAGUGGAAAUCUUUCACUUCACAUAAAUGAUCAGACUCAUAAGUUGUUCUAAUUUCUGGGCAAAUUGCUAGAAAGACAAUUUUAUAAGACAUACUGGGUUUCUAUUAACGAAAGAAUUUUCAUGGGUCUUCAUAGCUGUUUGUCUUCAGGUAUACAUGUUUGUUUCAGGUUUUCAUUAGUGCUUACUGAAAGCUAAUAACCAAAUCAUGGAAAUCAAUUAUGGACUUCGAUCUUCAUACACUCGGCUUGGACGAGCCACUGAAAUUCAACCAUAGACGAAACACUAGAAGUGAAUUCAUCAAGACAUAAAAGACUUUCAGUAAUUAGACGAUUUUGGAGCAAGACUGCAGAUGGCACCCAAACCUCUUUCUAUCUUAUCGAAUAAUUUAAUAAAUGAUUCAUCCAUAUAAAACAAAGUUUUAUAGCCCCCGCCAAUCAUUUGCUACAUGGGGUUAAAGCCAUAACUAUUUCUUGUUACUGCAAGAAAACCAUUGAAAGCCAGUUAAAGAGUUUCUUAUCUGAUUGGUAAAACCUUCCUUAUUUAGGUUGUUAACCGUCGGACUACGUGCUCAAAAAUAAAAUAAAAUAUUUUGCAACCCUUUCAAUUGGUUAUCCACCAGUUUUUUGCUAAUAUGUACACGUGCUUCUACGUAAAGGAUAAAUAAAGUUGGAUUCUUGUUGGCCACAUUUUAUCAAACAAAGCGGGGCAUACUUGGUCAAUAAAACUUUUUAUCGUGUUUUCUUUCCUUUUGGAGGCAAGGACGGGCCUAAUUCCCAGACAAUCACGAAUUUGUGUACUUUAAUUCUGUUUUUUAUUAAAGGCGACUCACGUGCAACCUUCAACACAUACCCAUUAGUAAUAUAAAACCAGAUGAAAAACUACAACAACAAAAUAAGAUUGCAAAACCAAAUCUAACUUGAUUGUAGGGCGUUGAUAAGCUUUUCCAUUUGAAAGCAUCACUUCGGCAGUUCGAAUCAAACCAUCAGAACCAGGGUAGACAUUAAUAAUACGGCUGAGAGACUGUUCAUGACCUCCCUUAAUUUCAUCAACUACAACUACUAAGUCGUCGACCUUCAAAUUUAUCUGUGAAUAUCUCCAUUUUUUAUGCCGUUGGAUAUCAAGAGAAUAAUAUUUGUUAACCAAGGAAUCCGGAAGGCUUGUGAUGUUGAAACCAGUAAUGAACAUUUACAGAUGGUCUUAUCUUCCAAAGUAACUGGAGACAAAAAAAGCAAAUGGGAGCUAUUAAGUACAGCCUCGAUCUCUAAUAAUGCGGUAUUUAAUUGUUUAACGAUCAAAUGUGCAUUU
rnacentral:lncRNA from 1 species